rnacentral:tRNA from 1 species
ACUAUUUUGGCAGAAAAGUGCAUUAGAUUUAGAAUCUAAAAAUGUGGGCUGUACCCACAGGUAGUA